AGAAAUAAAUAAAUAAAUAAUAAAUAGAGCGUGCGGGCGAGGGCGGCGGGCGCGGGCUGCGGGGGAGGGCGCGCUCCCGGGGACGCGGGCACCCCGCGCGCUGUGGCCUCCCGCCGCCGCCGCCCGGCUCGGCUCCUCCCGGCCGCGCAGUCAGCAAGUUCCGCGGCGGCCGCGGGGAGGGGGAGGGGGAGGGGAGGGGCGGGGAGGGGGAGGGGGAGGGGCGGGCGCGGCGGCGGCGGCGGCGGCGGCGGCGGAGGGCGGAGGGCGGAGGGCGGAGGGGCGCGCGCUCCCGGGGCCGCCGGGCACGAGCGCCUCCCGCCCGCGCGCCCGCCCGCCCCCCGCGCCCCGCGCCCCGCGCCCCCGGGCCGGGAGCUCCGCGGAGGACGCGCGGGGGACGCGGCGAUGCGGGGGCGCACGCGGGCCCCGGACAAAGAGCGCGGGCGGGGACCCUGCCGCCCUCGGCCGGGGAGGGCGGGGGCGCGGGGACGGCUUCCGGCCUGAGCCCGCCUCCCGAGCGAGGCUGCCCAUUGGGCCACCCGCCCCCGCGCGCACCGCGCACCCCGCACCGCGCACCCCGCACCCCGCACCCCCGCCCGCCGCGCCUCCGUGCACGCCCCGGGGGGGAGGGCGCGCCCCGAGGAGCCCCCGCCCUGGGAGGCCGCGAGCCUGCGGGGGUCGUGGAGCGGGCCCGGGAGGGCGGAGGCGGGGACGCGCUGCUCCUGGCCCGCCCCGGAGCCCCAAGGCCAACACGAGGUCGAGGGCAUCGAAGGAGGAGGAAGGAAGGGUUGGCAGCCCAGGGCCCCGCGCUCUGCCUGGCUCUGGCCCUCCGCGCGCCCAGGGGGCAGCCAGCCCUUCGGAGGCUUUCACAACUUAAAAAAUAACCCCAAUCGGGGCGGGGUGGGGGGGUGUUAAACGUCCUGCCCCAGCCUGAGCUCGCGGGGCUCUCCGAGGCCGCCUCCCCCGCCGGCCUGGCCCCAUGUGCACGCCGGGCAACCGUCCUGGAGCGGAGCGGAGCGGGGAGCGCUGGGCCACGCCGGGUCGGAGCGUGCGCGCAGGGGCAGCCUCGGAGGGGCGUCCUCCGGGCCGGUCUUGUCCCCUUCCAGCACCUUCUCUGCUCUGGGGUCCGAAGUACCAGAACUUCCUGUGGGCCGCCCAGAUGUCCUCCAGCUCCUGGGAACGUGCUCCAGGGAUGCAGCCCCGCGGGAAGCUGCGGAUCCCUGUCCCGCCGGGGCCAGGGGCAGGGCCAGGGCCAGGGGUGCUGGAGCCUGUGCAGCUCCCGGAGGCGGCGGGACCAGCAGCCAUAACAGAGCAACCGGACUCAAAAUGCAGAGGCACGCGGUGCACCCUGCUGCUCGGUGCUGCACACACAGUCCACCUUUGGGACGGUGCGAGGGCCAAGCCAGCUCGCUGUCCAGGAGGGGAACAGAUCCUUGGGGUUCGCCAGGUUGGUGAGGAGGAAGGAUCCUCGAGUCAGCACAACCGCCAGGUCUCAAGAGAUGGGGAAGAGGGAGCCUGCUCUGUGUGUUGA
rnacentral:lncRNA from 1 species